rnacentral:rRNA from 1 species
UACAGAGGGGGCAAGCGUUAUUCGGAAUUAUUGGGCGUAAAGGGCGCGUAGGCGGCCUGGCAAGUGGAAGGUGAAAUCCCUCGGCUUAACCGAGGAACUGCCUCCCAAACUGCUUGGCUCGAGACCGGGAGAGGUGAGUGGAAUUCCCAGUGUAGCGGUGAAAUGCGUAGAUAUUGGGAGGAACACCAGUGGCGAAGGCGGCUCACUGGACCGGUACUGACGCUGAGGCGCGAAAGCGUGGGAGGCAA